rnacentral:lncRNA from 1 species
GAAGCACCGGCAAUGGUAAACGCACAGAAGUUGUGCGAGAGGUCAAGUGGGACUUGGUCCGGAGUCUGCGGAAACAACAACGCUUGCAAGAAUCAGUGCAUUAACCUUGAGGGAGCAAAACAUGGAUCUUGCAAUUAUCGAUUCCCAUACCACAGAUGUAUCUGUUACUUCCCAUGUUAAUCAACCAAACAUCUUCGGUGGUUAAACGUGUGUGCAUUUUACAUAAAAUAAGUCUACGUCACUUUACGAGUGACUCUUAUGAGUAUGACAUGCAUCUUUCUGUUUUAAUGUUCGGUGGUGUGACUUUGUUGUUAUGAUAAUAUAAUAUUUUUCUUCUUGUUUAAUUUGUCUUCAACACGGUCAGUAAUGAAAUAUACAUGUAAUCCAACUCGACCCCUUGUAUUGAAAAAAAAAAAAAACUUGUGUGUAAAUGAAAAUGAUCCACGACAAACUAUGAAUUGUCCAAUUACAUGACCGAAUUAAAAUAUAUUGUAGCUAGGAAGUUCACGUUAAAUCCCAAUUAUAUUGGUCUACCAAAUUCACGUUGCAGAAAUGAAAUAUUACUUACGAGUAAAAAUUACGAUAAACAAAAAAUGAUUUUGAACUUAGAAGCUUUUGUUUCAAACAAAAGGUUUCGCUUUCAGGUCUUGAUCUAGAUCUUGUGUCCAAUUAAUAAUUUAAAUUUAUGUUUGGGAUCGGUUACAGUUACAAUCUUGGUUGAGUUUAAUUUUAUUUAAAACUUGACUUAUAUAUUUAUUAGCAGAAACACCAACAAUGGUGGAAGAACGUACACAAGUUGUGAAGUUACGUUGUGCGAGUUGGACAGUCAUAGAAACAAUAAUGCAACAAAAAUAAGUGCAUUAUAGCCUUGAAAACGUACAACAUGGAAGACUAGGCCCGGCGUAAAGGGGGUGCGGGAGCACCGGGACUCUUCAGUUUUGGUAAUUUUUUAAAGGUUUUAGGACCCUCAAUUUUUGAUAUUUUUACAUACAAGGGCCUCAAAUUUCUGAAAUUUGCAAAUAAAACCCUAACUAAAAGAAGAAAUUUUUUUGGCACAAGGUCCAAGAAAAACUUGAGCCGGGCCCUCCAUGGAACUUGCAAGUUGCAACUAUGUCCCCAGCUCACAAAUGAUCUGCUACUUCCCAUAUUAAGUUAUCUAUAUGGUCAUGUGUCUGUAUUUCCAAUUUUCCAUAAACUAAUAAGUCAUAUGUUCUGCUCAAAAAUCUACAUGUGUCUGUCACUCAAUGAAUGAGCGUAUUACAUGUAUCCAUUAUGUUUAUGUUGGCUUGUUUUAAUUGGAUUUUACUACAUACUACUGUUUCCUUAUCCAUAUUUGUUUUUCUGAUUAGUGCACUUUCCCUAACUGUGGACAGAGAUUCACCGAGGCCUGAGACAACCAUUUCCAGCAUCAUCAGGUCGAUUAAGAAGAACAAUUAAUUAACUUUGUUUUGAAAUGACCAGCUGCCAUAGUUGAAGUUGAUUAAGAUUUUUUAAGUUAUGCGGUUAAAUGAACUAAUAAUGUUAUACAAUUAAUCACUUCUUAGGAAGUUAGGGGGUGGGAAGGGGUAUUGGAAGACGGAUUUAAGAAGAUUUUGGGUUUUUCUUAACCAGCUCAGAAGAUUCCCCAUAUUAUAAACCGGUGACAAUGACAUACUAUUAUUGGAUUGAGGAUAUUUCUUGCGAUUCAAGCAAAUGACCAAUUAUUGUAUCAUUGAUCCCAUUUUCUCCUAGCUCUAUGCUCAUGUAACGAACGGUCUGCAAAAAUUUCCGACAAAUCAUAACUACUUGUGUAACUCGGCUUGGUUAAAAAAUGUAAAAUCUUAUUUUCUUGAGUGGUGACCAAAUCAGAUUAACCAGCGCUACCAAACUGAACAAUGAAUAUGUAGCAUUAACUCAAAUCCAAAGCAACCAGUUUAGAUAUUAUCAGAGAAAGAUAUGUGGUGGAGAAACCAGCCAUCAAUUAUGAAUAAGUCAAGAUCUUAUUACUACAACUAGCUAUACUAGAAGACACUGCGAGAUUAAUUUGUGGGGUUGCGAUCCGUAAUUAUACGAUGCAAAAAUAGAAGACUAACUCACCACUAUUUCAUUAUAAAUAGAGGCUGAUCUUAAGCUUAUUUUAUCACACAGCACAAUACAUAUAUACAUCGAAAACAAAGUAGUAAAAAUCAUCAUGGCUAAGUCUGCUUCCAUCAUCACCCUUAUCUUCGCUGCUCUUGUUCUCUUUGCUGCUUUUGGUUAGUAAUGAUCUUAUCAUAUAUGCAAAAUAGUGUUUUAAAUGUUAUUUUCAUUUAUUUUGAUAACUAACCAUGAUAAGUAUAUACAUGAAUCUGCAGAAGCACCAGCAAUGGUGGAAGCACAGAAGUUUUGCGAGAGGUCAAGUGGGACUUGGUCCGGAGUCUGUGGAAACAACGGCGCUUGCAGGAAUCAGUGCAUUAACCUUGAAAGAGCACACCAUGGAUCUUGCAACUAUCGAUUCCCAUACCACAGAUGUAUCUGUUAUUUCCCAUGUUAAUCAACCAAACAUCUUUGGUUGUUAAACGUGUGUGUAUUUUACAUAAAAUAAGUCUCGGUUACUCUAUGAGUGACUUUUAUGACAUGCAUGUUUAUGUUUUAAUGUUUGGUGUGACUUUGUUGUUAUAAUAAUAUAAAAUAUUUCUUCUUGGUUUAAUUUGUCUUCACACGCGCGGUCAUUGUUUUCAAAAGGACUAAUUACUUCUCCUAGAGGUACCCUAACAGCAUCACGAGUUUCAAGUUGAGAAUAAGAAACGUAGUGGUGUAUUCAGUAAUGAAAUAUAUAUAUGUAAUCCGACUCGAUUCCUAGUUUGUGAUAUAAGAAAAAACUUGUGGGUAAAUGAAAAUGAUCCACGAAACUAUGAAUUGUCCAAUUUCAUGCAUGAUCGAUUUAUAAUAUGUUAAAAACUUUUAUCUACAAGUUUUUGUAGGAAGUUCAUGUCAAAUGAUUAAUAGAGUUAUAAGUCAAUAGAUUUUGCCCGAUUUACUAUAUUCGCGUUGCAAGAAUGAAAUAGUAUUUAUGUGUUAAAUUUCGGUAAAAAAAAAUGAUUUUGAACUUAAAAGCUUGUGUUUCAAACAAAAGGUUUCGAUUUCAAGUCUUGAUCUAGAUUUCGGGUCAAAUUAAAGUUGUUUUGGUUUAAAUUUUAAUUUUAAUCGCGUAAUUGACUAUAAUUAUCUAUAAGCAGAAAACACCAACAAUGUUUGAAGCACACAAGUUGUGAAGUUGUGCGAGAGAAGCCAAGUUGAACAGUCAUAUAAACAACAAUGCAACAAAAAUAAGUGCAUUAAGAAAUAAAAUAAACAAUAAUGUAUUUUCAUAAAGCUAAUAAGUAUUGUCACUCAAUGAAGGAGUGUAUAUAUUACAUGUAUUUAUUAUGUUUAUGUUGGCUUGUUUUAAUUGUAUUUUUUUUUUUUUGGUAAUAGAUAGGAGACAAAGGUCUCCUACUCUUUAUUAAGUUCAACCCCAAAUGUAUCCUCCGACAAAACUGAAGUACACUCGUUCGGGCAUAAAUCUAAAACUUUAAAACCAAGCGGUAAUGAGAACGCAUAAAUCUAAAAAUUGUUUUAGUUGUAUUUUACUACUGUUUUAUCUUCUUAUCUAUAUUUGUUUGCAUGUAUUGUCCAUAAUAAGAACUACCCACAAUAUAGAGAGCAGUUAGCCUAUGUAUUUGUUUAUCCGAUGCUUUUGGCAAAUUAAAGGUAUUUAUUCGACAAAGUACAGACUACAAAUUAGGACACUUUCUCUAACUGUGGACAUAGAUUCACCAAGGGUUGAGACAACCAUUUCCAGCACCAUCAGGUCGAUUAAGAAGAACCAUUAAUUAACUUUGUUUUGAAAUGAGAUAUAGUUGAAAUUGAUUAGGAUUUUAAGUUAUGCGGUCUAAUGAACGAAUACACUUCUUAAGAAACUUAGGGGGUGUACUGGAAGACGGAUUUGAGAAGAUUUCGGUUUUUUCUUAACUCGCUCAUCAGACGAUUCUUCAUAAGAUAAACAGGCGACAAUGACAUCUUAUUAUUGAAGUGAGGAUAUUUUCUUGCUAUUCAAGCAAAUGACCAAUUAUAGUAUCAUUGGUCCCGUUUACUCCUAGUUCUAUGCUCAUGUAACGAACGGUCUGAAAAUUUCUGACAAAUCAUAACUACUUGUGUAACUCGGUUUGGUUAAAAUUUUAAAAUCUUAUUUUCUUGAGUGGUGACCAAAUCAGAUUGACCAGCGCUGCCAAAGUGAACAAUGAAUAUGUAGCAUUAACUCAAAUCCAGUGCAUUCAGUUUAGAUAUUAUCAAAGAAAAUAUGUGGUGGAGAAACCAGCCAUCAAAUAUGAAUAAGCCACGAUCUUAUUAAUAUCAACUAGCUAUACUAGCUAGAAGACACUGCGUGAUUAAUUUGUGGGGUUACGAUCCGUAAUAAUACGAUGCAAAAAUAGCAGACUAACUCACCACUAUUUCAUUAUAAAUAGAGGCUGGUCUUAAGCUUAUUUCAUCACACAAUACAUACAUACAUACAUACAUCUAAAACAAAGUAGUAAAAAUCAUCAUGGCUAAGUUUGCUUCCAUCAUCACCCUUAUCUUCGCUGCUCUUGUUCUCUUUGCUGCCUUUGGUUAGUAAUGAUCUUAUCAUAUAUGCAAAAUAGUGUUUUAAAUGUUAUUUUCAUUUAUUUUGAUAACUAACCAUGAUAAGUAUAUACAUGAAUCUGCAGAAGCACCAGCAAUGGUGGAAGCACAGAAGUUUUGCGAGAGGUCAAGUGGGACUUGGUCCGGAGUCUGUGGAAACAACGGCGCUUGCAGGAAUCAGUGCAUUAACCUUGAAAGAGCACACCAUGGAUCUUGCAACUAUCGAUUCCCAUACCACAGAUGUAUCUGUUACUUCCCAUGUUAAUCAACCAAACAUCUUUGGUGGUUAAUCACGUGUGUAUUUUACAUAAAAUAAGUCUGUGUUACUCUAUGAGUGACUUUUAUGACAUGCAUGUUUAUGUUUUAAUGUUUGGUUGGACUUUGUUGUUAUUAUGAUAUAUAGAUAUAUAAAUUUAAAGUACUAUUGUGUAAGUAAUAUAUACAUUUAAACUAUUGUGUAGUGAUCCCCCGACAAAAUUAUAUACGAAAAUUUUCCAAUUAAAUGAACAUAAAAUAUGUCAAAAUAAAAGUUUAAACAGGAA